rnacentral:rRNA from 1 species
UACGAAGGGGGCUAGCGUUGCUCGGAAUCACUGGGCGUAAAGCGCACGUAGGCGGAUUCCUAAGUCGGGGGUGAAAUCCUGGAGCUCAACUCCAGAACUGCCUUCGAUACUGGGAAUCUUGAGUCCGGAAGAGGUGAGUGGAACUGCGAGUGUAGAGGUGAAAUUCGCAGAUAUUCGCAAGAACACCAGUGGCGAAGGCGGCUCACUGGCCCGAUACUGACGCUGAGGCACGAAAGCGUGGGGAGCAAACAGG